AUGAGUUUUCAUAAUCAGUUACAGUGAUAGCCUAUCAGCAGCAACAAAAAUAAUACUAUCAUCUACAUGCAAGAUUUUUUUUUUUAAAUAAAUUUUGGACUUCUAUUACUUAAUCACAAAAAAAUACAGAAAAUACAAUGAGCUAAAUGACCUUAUCAAUUCACACAACUAAAAAAUAAAAUUCAAAGAAAAUCUAAUCCUAUCCAGCGCAAUUCAAAAGAUCCGAACCCAAUUCCCCCUUAUUACACAUAUAAAAAAGUGGGAUUUCUUAAUUUCACCCUUAACCUUUCCUUUUCAAAACCCUCCAACACCUAAGAUAUGUUGCCGUCAUGGAUAAACGUAAAGCUCUACCUCAUUUUGAUUUGGGUCAUCAAUAAUAUGUAUCUCUUCCUUCUUGUUGCGGCUAAAUCAUCUUUCAAGAUUGUGUUCAAUGGUGGAUGGUGUAAGCUCACUGCAUCUUCCUAAGGAAACUUGCCUAAUGGUGUCUUGCUUUGUCACUUUUUAAGUAUUCAUAUUUCUUUGUUGUUCUUUCUUGCCGACAACUGUAAGACUCUUACUCAUGUAGGUAGAGCUAGAACAGAGUAUAGGGGUAGCUCUAAUCCACCUUCACCUGAGAUGCAAGACAUCCAAGUUUCACACCUCCGAUCUCAUCAUAGACCCCCUCAUUUUGUCGAGUCAUUUUUUAUGGUUGAGGUACCAUAGUCUAGUUAGCAUUUUACUUGUUUUUGUAUCUUUGAGGUUGUUUGUAAUAUUCAUGUGAGAUACAUAUGCUUAGCCUUCCCAACCCUACUACCCCUUGCUUGGUUAUACUCUAAAAUAUAGUCAUUAUAGUUUAUCAAUGUUGAUUAAUCGUCUUCCUUUGAAUUCUAUGCUAUGAAAAUUUGUAUA